UUUGGAUCCACCAACACUCUCUCAUCAAUAGAUAAGUGUGUCGAGGGUACUAUUGAUCCAUUACGCGAAACACCUUCAACAUAUUUAUGUACACUACCAACAGGAUUUUCUUCCUCUUCUCUUUCUCUGCUCUUCUCACUGCAACUCAUAGUUGCGAAAUUCGAAUCAAAUUAUCCCUGAAUGCCUCAUUCUCAACCCUCACACACUUUAAACCUAUAAAUUACUUGCAAACAACCACUUUUACCCCCAACACUGAA
rnacentral:misc_RNA from 1 species